UACGUAGGGGCCGAGCGUUGUCCGGAGUUACUGGGCGUAAAGCGCGCGCAGGCGGCGCAUCGCGCCCGGCGUGAAAGCCCCCGGCUCAACCGGGGAGGGUCGUCGGGGACGGGUGCGCUUGAGGACGGCAGGGGCAGGUGGAAUUCCCGGUGUAGUGGUGAAAUGACGUAGAGAUCGGGAGGAACACCCGUGGCGAAGGCGGCCUGCUGGGCCGAUCCUGA
rnacentral:rRNA from 1 species